GAUGAACGCUGGCGGCGUGCCUAAUACAUGCAAGUCGAGCGAACGGACGAGAAGCUUGCUUCUCUGAUGUUAGCGGCGGACGGGUGAGUAACACGUGGAUAACCUACCUAUAAGACUGGGAUAACUUCGGGAAACCGGAGCUAAUACCGGAUAAUAUUUUGAACCGCAUGGUUCAAAAGUGAAAGACGGUCUUGCUGUCACUUAUAGAUGGAUCCGCGCUGCAUUAGCUAGUUGGUAAGGUAACGGCUUACCAAGGCAACGAUGCAUAGCCGACCUGAGAGGGUGAUCGGCCACACUGGAACUGAGACACGGUCCAGACUCCUACGGGAGGCAGCAGUAGGGAAUCUUCCGCAAUGGGCGAAAGCCUGACGGAGCAACGCCGCGUGAGUGAUGAAGGUCUUCGGAGCGUAAAACUCUGUUAUUAGGGAAGAACAUAUGUGUAAGUAACUGUGCACAUCUUGACGGUACCUAAGCAGAAAGCCACGGCUAACUACGU
rnacentral:rRNA from 1 species